rnacentral:tRNA from 1 species
GGGGGCGUGGUGGAAUGGUAGACACAACGGACUUAAAUUUUGAGCAAAAAUUUGUAAGUUCUCAAAUUCAGAAAAACUCAUUUUCUAAAAUAAAGAAAAGGGCAAUCCUGAGCCAAGUUUACUUUAUACAAGUAAAAAGGUGCAGAGACUCGAUGGGAACUACCUUGUAAAGGUAAAGGGAGAGUCCAUAUUUUUUGAAAGAUAAUAAACAUUGUUAUUUUAUUAAAAAACAAAAAAUAGAAAAUCCGUUGACUAUUUACGGUCGUGAGGGUUCAAGUCCCUCCGCCCCCA